GCUCAGCGCGAGGAGGAUGAAGAUGAGGAGGAGGAGGAGGCGGUGAUGAAGAUGACGACGGUGUUUUGACGACCGGGUGACAACGGGAAACGCACCCCUCCUCCUCCUCCUCAUCAUCAUCAUCCUCACCUCCUCGC
rnacentral:miRNA from 1 species